rnacentral:lncRNA from 10 species
CGGAUUCACAGUCGGAACCGCGAGCAAAGACACCUAGUAGAGCCGGCCGAUUCCUAGGUCCUCCGGCCAGGAGGCGCUGCGGGCCAGUCUCCGGGGGCCACCGCAGCCCGCGCGCCCAGCACCCCCACCCUCACGGCAGAGCCCAGCCCAGCCCCGCGGCGGAGCUCCGAGUUCUGCGCCGCCCGCCGGGGUUACUCCCGGUCAUUCCACGGCACCACCUCGGCCCAGCUUCCCCAUCUGCGCCCAGGCAGAAGCUGCCCCGAGAGACCAGCAGCAACGGUCUGGAAGAUGGGGCUGCAGGGAACGUGGGAGAGGGAGGAUUGGGCACCCCACCUCCGGGUCUCCGCAGGCUCUCCUAAGUCUUGUUUUUAAAAGAAACAAAACUCGGCCGCGCGCGGUGGCUCACGCCUAUAAUCCCAGCACUUGGGGAGGCCGAGGCCGGUGGAUCACCUGAGGUCGAGGGUUCGAGACCAGCCUGGCCAACAAGUUGAAACCCCGUCUCUACUAAAAAUACAAAAAUUAGCUGGAUGUGGUGACGCGCCUGUAAUCCCAGCUACUCAGGAGGCUGAGGCAGGAGAAUCGCUUGAACCCGGGAGGCGGAGGUUGCAGUGAGCGGAGAUCGUUCCAUUGCACUCCAGCCUGGGCGACAGACCGAGACUUAAAGGAAAGAAAAAAAAGAAAAAGAAAAGGAAACAAAACUCGUCCGCGCUCUGCGCCAGGGACACCAGCUCAGCUGAGCGCACGGAGACUGUAGGCAGGACCUCCCUACCCCUCAGGUCAAACAAAGACCCAAGGCCUCUAGUGAGCAAUAGCACCACGGACCGUUUGGGACACCUCCAACUCGAGUUCCCGGAUUCACAGUCCGGGACUGUGCCGCUCCAGUCCCGGGGAGCAUAUAGCCAAUUCCCAGGUCAGAACAGACCAGCUUCUUAAGAACCGAGUGAAGACUCAGUGCUGGCAUUUGUCUCCGUAGGUACUGGCCGACCUGCAACCAGAAGGGUUUCUAGCCAGCUCAGGGCCCUCCGAACAAAGCAGCGCUCGGUGCCGGACCUGCAGCUCUCCCCACCCGGCAGCAGCGCCCUCAGCACGCCCGGGAACCCCCGACCCCUCUGAGCCCGGGGUACUGCGCCCGGGUCUCCACGCCCAGAGAUGCUCCCCGGUCUCCACCGUCGGGCAAGCCCCAAGCGCAGCAGCGCAGAGUCCUGGGGUCACCAGAGCUCGUACUAGGACAUCGUCUCCCCAUUUAACACCGCCUCCGGUCCCAUCUGAGUUGCAAGUGGUGGGGAUGUGGGGCUCCGGAUCAAAGUCCCCGAAACCGAGCACUUCCCGAAGCCUCCUUGGCCUCGAAACAAAACAAUAACGCCCAAAUCAUAUCUGGGUGUCCAUCAGCAUGUUACUUCACAUCUCUGUACCUCAGUUUAUUCAUCUUUCAAAUGGAAGCAACAUAUAGAGCUGCCUUAUAGAGUUGCUCUGGGUAUUAGAUGUAUAAUAUAUGUGAACUGCUUGGUACUGGGCCUGGUAUAUGGUAUGUGCUCAAUAAAUGAUAGUUGUUUAUUAUUGUCAUUUAUUAUCAUCAUCAUCAUCAUCAUAAUUAAAUAUUAUUCCAAGCAACAAUGUGUUCCUCAUAGUCCAACAAUAAUUUAAUAAAUGUAACCUUUCCAAAACUCCGAUCUGCAAAUUUUAAAUAAAUAUUUUCAAUUAAAUUAAUC